UACGUAGGGCGCAAGCGUUGUCCGGAAUUAUUGGGCGUAAAGAGCUCGUAGGCGGCCUAUUGCGUCCGCUGUGAAAUCCCAGGGCUUAACCCCUGGGCCUGCAGUGGAUACGGGUAGGCUGGAGGCAGGCAGGGGAGAACGGAAUUCCCGGUGUAGCGGUGAAAUGCGCAGAGUAUCGGGAGGAACACCGGUGGCGAAGGCGGUUCUCUGG
rnacentral:rRNA from 1 species